rnacentral:rRNA from 1 species
GAGGGUGCGAGCGUUAUCCGGAAUCAUUGGGUUUAAAGGGUCCGCAGGCGGAUGUAURACUCAGUGGUGAAAUCCUGCAGCUUAACUGCAGAACUGCCAUUGAUACUGUACAUCUUGAAUUCGGUCGAAGUGGGCGGAAUGUGUAGUGUAACGGUGAAAUGCAUAGAUAUUACACARAACACCGAUAGCGAAGGCWKCUCAAUACGCCUGGAUUGACGCUCAGGGACGAAAGCGUGGGGAUCAAACAGGAUUAGAUACCCUGGUAGUCCACGCUGUAAACGAUGAUUACUCGUUUUC